CCGGUGCUAAGGGAGGGGCUUUACGGAUCAGUAGUGGUGGGUAAGCCUACCAAGCCWAUGACGCCUAGCUGUCUGAGAGGAUGAUCAGCCACACUGACUGAGACACGGUCCAGACUCCUACGGAGGCAGCAGUGGGGAAUAUGCACAAUGGGGGAAACCUGAUGCAGCAACGCCGCGUGGAGGAUGACGCAUUUCGGUGUGUAAACUCCUUUUAUAUCCCAAGAUAAUGACGGUAGGAUAUGAAUAAGCACCGGCUAACUCCGUGCCAGCAGCCGCGGUAAUACGGAGGGUGCAAGCGUUACUCGGAAUCACUGGGCGUAAAGGAUGCGUAGGCGGAUAAUCAAGUCAAAAGUGAAAUCCUACGGCUUAACCGUAGAACUGCUUUCGAAACUGGUUAUCUAGAAUAUGGAAGAGGCAGAUGGAAUAGUGGUGUAGGGGUAAAAUCCGUAGAGAUCACUAGGAAUACCGAUUGCGAAGGCGAUCUGCUGGGACAUUAUUGACGCUGAGGCAUGAAAGCGUGGGGAGCAAACAGGAUUAGAUACCCUGGUAGUCCACGCCCUAAACGAUGCACACUAGUUGUUGCGAUGCUCGUCAUUGCAGUAAUACAGUUAACACAUUAAGUGUGCCGCCUGGGGAGUACGGUCGCAAGAUUAAAACUCAAAGGAAUAGACGGGGACCCGCACAAGCGGUGGAGCAUGUGGUUUAAUUCGAAGAUACGCGAAGAACCUUACCUAGACUUGAAAUCCUUGGAAUCUUGCAGAGAUGCGAGAGUGCUAGUUUACUAGAACCAAGUGACAGGUGCUGCACGGCUGUCGUCAGCUCGUGUCGUGAGAUGUUGGGUUAAGUCCCGCAACGAGCGCAACCCUCGUGAUUAGUUGCUAACAGUUCGGCUGAGCACUCUAAUCAGACUGCCUUCGUAAGGAGGAGGAAGGUGAGGACGACGUCAAGUCAUCAUGGCCCUUAUGUCUAGGGCUACACACGUGCUACAAUGGUUGGGACAAAGAGCAGCGAUACCGCGAGGUGGAGCAAAUCUUAAAACCCAAUCUCAGUUCGGAUUGGAGUCUGCAACUCGACUCCAUGAAGCUGGAAUCGCUAGUAAUCGUAGAUCAGCAAUGCUACGGUGAAUACGUUCCCGGGUCUUGUACUCACCGCCCGUCACACCAUGGGAGUUGAUUUCGCUCGAAGCCGGAAUACUAAAUUAGUACCGUCCACAGCG
rnacentral:rRNA from 1 species